rnacentral:lncRNA from 1 species
UUGGGCUGUUCUGCCCUGGGCUUUGUAGCAAAGGGAAGAUGUGAAGGCCAGAGGUAAACACUAAUUUCCUAUUGACACAACAUUAAUUCUCCGGCUCGGACAGGUGAAUGUGCUUUCACUCACUUUACCAAGAUUAAUGAGGUUUGUCUGCCUGCUGAGAGAGGCCUCAGGAGGGACUCUGAGCGCAUGCCCUCUGGGCUGGCCGUGGGGAAAGAGGCUGGCAGACGCACGGAAGAAGACCAGUCUCUCCCCCCACUUCCAACGUCAUCGUCCCUGUUCAGUUAACCUGCAGCUUGGCCACAGACCCUUCUGCCCCAGCUGUUUCCACCUUGGCAUGUGACGGUCCAGCCAGUGCAGUAUGAGAGCUGAAAGCCCAACCCUGCCUUCUUUUCCAGAACAUACCAACGUGGUUUAGCAAAUUCAUUAGUGCAGAGUUUCUCCCAAGAGCCCUUGGAGGUUUGAUUACAUGAGACCUUCCCAUAAGUGUCACCGCCAGGGGCUGGUGCACGUGGCAGCAGGAGGCCUGCAGGGUCCUGCCCUCUCUCCUCUGUCAUCGGAGAGAAGAUCCAGACCCUUUGCCGCUUUGCUUCCACGCCGCCGGCAGCCUUCCCUUGGUCACUGGGAGAGGAGAGAAAGCUACGGAACCGUAGGUCAUCCGUGAACAACUCCAAAGCAGGCAGGGAGGGCCAAAACGUGGAUUUAAAUCCAGCUGGGCUUCUGCAAUCACUGUUCGUCAAACCUGCCCAUUACCAUGCCCCAGGGCACUUGUCAGCCGGGAGCAUUCCAGGCCCGCAGCCCGCCCAACUGAGUGGGGAGGUCCCAGAAGGGCCCUGGGAAUCUGUGUCUGACAAGCCCUGUCUGUCGUCAGGCAAGCCUGGGAAACUGCCUAAGUGAAUACCUUCUCUGGCUGUGCCGUGGCUGCUCCAUCCAGGGACGCUGGCGGUCAACCAUAAAGCAGAAACCACACGCAGGAAAAUGCUCUUUGCUGUCAUUGUGCACCACAACGUGUGUGCUCAUUGACUAGAGGACUCCAUCUGGUCUUCUGUGUCCUGAAGGCAAAGCGCUUUCAGAUCUUUGCACAACGGGCAGUAGACACCGCCCUGGAAUUAGACUUGGGAGAGAAGGAGGUCUCUUCAGUGCUCCAAGCCUCAGUUUCCUCUUAUCCCAGUUGGGGCUAAAACCUGAUGGCCAAUCUGUCUGAGAAGCAAAUGAAGUAAGUGGUUGAGGUGCUGUGGGGAGCACAGCCUUACUGUUUCAGUGGGGAUGUGGCCAUGCUUUCCAGUCGCACCCUGGAUUCUGGGUCUCAGCGGGUGCACACACAGUGAUUCUGACUGAGGAAGCUUGUCUCUGUUCUAGCGCCUUCUUACAUGUGGAAGGAUGUGAUGCUUUUGGUGACAUGUGGUGGGGUGGGGUCACCCGCCAAGUGCGUUUUUGCUAGUGCACGUUGUCAUUAACUAAACGCUCUCUCAGUCUGAACCUCUGCCUCCUGCGGCCCCGCCAUGCCCUGUGAAGACCUUCCUUAGAGCACCACUGGCACUGCAUCCCUUCCUUUCUAGGCAGCCAGUCUCCUUCGAGACUUUGAGCAUCAGGAGGCGAGGGAGGUGGUCCCACGUCUGUAUUCCCAACAACGAGCACAGUGCCAGGCAAAAAGCAGACCUCAGAUGGCGGCUGCGUGCAUUUAAAUUGAUAAGAUAUGUGAUCGGAAUUUUCUUUAUAGCUGUUCAAAGCCCAGACUUAGUUCACAUGGGCAUUCUCUCUCUCCCCUUAUACGGCGGUUAAGAGAGGGGGCUCCAGGGGCCGGCCCGUGGCCGAGUGGUUAAGUUCGCGCGCUCUGCUUUGGCUGCCCAGGGUUUCACCGAUUCGGAUCCUGGGUGUGGACAUGGCCCCGGUCAUCAGGCCGUGCUGAGGCGGUGUCCCACACAGCACAACCAGAGGGACCUACAACUAGAAUAUACAACUAUGUACUGGGGGGCUUUGGACAGAAGAAGAAAAGAAAAAGGUCUCCAGAGUCAGCGUGAUGGGGUUAAGAUGGACAAGUU